AUUGAACGCUGGCGGAAUGCUUUACACAUGCAAGUCGAACGGCAGCACGGACUUCGGUCUGGUGGCGAGUGGCGAACGGGUGAGUAAUGUAUCGGAACGUGCCCAGUCGUGGGGGAUAACGUAGUGAAAAUUACGCUAGUACCGCAUACGAUCUAUGGAUGAAAGCGGGGGAUCGCAAGACCUCGCGCGAUUGGAGCGGCCGAGAUCAGAUUAGGUAAGUGGUGGGGUAAAGGCCCACCAAGCCAACGAUCUGUAGCUGGUCUGAGAGGACGACCAGCCACACUGGAACUGAGACACGGUCCAGACUCCUACGGGAGGCAGCAGUGGGGAAUUUUGGACAAUGGGCGAAAGCCUGAUCCAGCCAUUCCGCGUGCAGGAUGAAGGCCCUCGGGUUGUAAACUGCUUUUGUACAGAACGAAAAGGUUUCUACUAAUACUAGGAGCUCAUGACGGUACUGUAAGAAUAAGCACCGGCUAACUACGUGCCAGCCGCCGCGGUAA
rnacentral:rRNA from 1 species